ensembl:lncRNA
CAAUUCCUGGCAGAAUUUAGAGCAUGCAGAAACUUAACACUCUGGAAAUGGCUCAUUUUAAUCUAAUUGUUGGCAUAGGUAGAUUUUUCCUGAGGUGGUUGAAAGUGCUUUGGUCACUUGAAUAAAAACUGUGUAGAUUACUUGGAAUUUCAACAGCUUUAAAGGGCAUUUACCUACAGCCUUGAUUUUUAUAGUACUUCAUGCCUUGUUAACCAGCAAUAAAACUGACCAUUAUUUGUAAAAAAUAAAGCUCAAAGACCCCUCUGAUCUUUAAAUGAGAAUACCAGAUAAUAACUACUCACUGCUUAUUCUCAGAUUUGUAUAAGCUGUAAGUAUAUACAUAAUUAAAUCAAUCAAAUCAACAAAUAUUUAUUGAGCACUAAGAAUUGCCUGAAGGGCUGAAAACAGAGCAGUAACAAGACUAAAGAGACCCCUGCCUUCUUGGAGCUUAUAGUCUGGUCAGGAAGACAAACAUUGAAUAAGCAGUCAUCAGUGUAACAAGGAUCAGCUUCAAUGUAGAAAGCAGCACGUUUGGGAAUGUCUGGUAGGAACUUAACUGCCAGAGAGGAAAGGCUUCCCAGAGGAAACCCGAGACCUGAAAGGGCUGGUUGGAGUUCUCGCUGGAAAAGAGUUGGUUCAUCUUCCAGUUCUGAAGAGAAGUAGUUGGAGGCCAAUCCCAUGAACACACGCGGACAAGUUCUACCGGUGAUCUGCCUGCCUCGGCCUCCCAAAGUGCUGGGAUUACAGGCAUGAGUCACCACACCCGGCCAGUUAUUGAAACUUGAUAAAUAGGAGUACACUGGAACUUGGCAA